AGCGAACGCUGGCGGCAGGCCUAACACAUGCAAGUCGAACGGAUCCUUCGGGAUUAGUGGCGGACGGGUGAGUAACACGUGGGAACGUGCCCUUUGGUUCGGAACAACUCAGGGAAACUUGAGCUAAUACCGGAUGUGCCCUUCGGGGGAAAGAUUUAUCGCCAUUGGAGCGGCCCGCGUCUGAUUAGCUAGUUGGCGAGGUAACGGCCCACCAAGGCGACGAUCAGUAGCUGGUCUGAGAGGAUGAUCAGCCACACUGGGACUGAGACACGGCCCAGACUCCUACGGGAGGCAGCAGUGGGGAAUCUUGCGCAAUGGGCGAAAGCCUGACGCAGCCAUGCCGCGUGAAUGAUGAAGGUCUUAGGAUUGUAAAAUUCUUUCAGCGGGGACGAUAAUGACGGUACCCGCAGAAGAGGCUCCGGCUAACUUCGUG
rnacentral:rRNA from 1 species